rnacentral:rRNA from 1 species
AGUGAACGCUGGCGGUAGGCCUAACACAUGCAAGUCGAACGGCAGCACAGUAAGAGCUUGCUCUUACGGGUGGCGAGUGGCGGACGGGUGAGGAAUACAUCGGAAUCUACUUUUUCGUGGGGGAUAACGUAGGGAAACUUACGCUAAUACCGCAUACGACCUACGGGUGAAAGCAGGGGAUCUUCGGACCUUGCGCGAUUGAAUGAGCCGAUGUCGGAUUAGCUAGUUGGCGGGGUAAAGGCCCACCAAGUCGACGAUCCUUAGCUGGUGUGAGAGGCUGAUCAGCCACACUGGAACUGAGACAAGGUCCAGACUCCUACGGAAGGCAGCAGUGGGGAAUAUUAGACAAUGGGCGCAAGGCUGAUCCAGCCAUACCGCAUGGGUGAAGAAGGCCUUCGGGUUGUAAAGCCCUUUUGUUGGGAAAGAAAAGCAGCAGGUUAAUACCCCGCUGUUCUGACGGUACCCAAAGAAUAGGCACCGGCUAACUUCGUG